AUGGUUGUAGCUCGUCUAUGUACAGGGCGUUACACACCGAAGCUGGCACGGCCCGGGCUGCCCGCUGGCCUGGCCCGGGGCCAUCCCGCCCGCAGGGCCCGUGCCGGGAUGGGGCCGGGAGCUCCUCUCUCCGCCAGCAUCUCCCAGGACCUGCCGGUGCAGGGUUUGUGCCAGUGCCCGCUCUGCGUGGCAGGGGUGCCCGGGGGGGCUGUGCUCUGUGCUGAACGUGCCCGGUGGGCGAGGGGCUCUCCCCACCGCCCCGGGGGGGGCUCAAGCCGCUGCCUCCAUCCCUGCCCCUCGCCGCGGCCCCCCGUGAUCCUUCCCCCGAGCUGGGGGCCGCGGGGGCAGCGGGCUCCGGGUGCCGUCCUGCCCCUGCCAGGCCCGAGGGUCCCUCGGGGGGUCUCCGGGGAGGGUGCGGUGGGUGGGACUCGGGUACCUAUUGCCAAUGGGAUGAAGGCUGGCGCCGAGCGCGGUGUCGGUGUCGCGGGCGCGUCGCUCCGGCCAUGCCAAGCGCGUAGCUGCCCACCCGGGGCCGGGCACGGCUGCCCCGCGGCUGCCCCACGGCACAGCCCCAGCCCCGAGGGGCCCGGGGGCUGCGCGCCUCCCGUGCACGCUCCAGCCGGGAGCGGAGAGGAGCUGCGGGAGGGAGAGAGGCAGGAUGGGGCUGGUGCCCGCGGCCAUGGCACCUCCCCACCACCCAAAUGGGAUUUCCCGGGGUCGCUGCCUGUGGCUGGCCACGUCCCGACCCCUGGAGGAAGGGUUCAGCCUCUCUCCAUCUCCAGCAGCAAGCUGAGACCCAGCAGGGCAGGGACAGCGACAGUGCCCUCCCAGCCGCCCAGACAUUGUCCCAGGGGCAGGGGACAGGGACAGGGGACAGGCACUCACCUCACACACGGUCCUGCUCCGCGGCGCUGGGCUCCUGUGGGAUGGAGGAGGGGGGUCAGUGCUCCCAUGGAGCUGGGGCUCUCCCGUGGCCACAGCAGUGCCCCGAGGGGCAGAGCCCCACCGAGCCUCCCGGAGUACAGCCCAGGCACCUUCUCUGCCCUUCCCCACCACCUGCAGGACGUGACAGCAGCAGCCACCAACCCUGGUGCUGGCUCUGACUGCGACUGA
rnacentral:lncRNA from 1 species